GUCCCUUCGGGGACAUCUGAUAAAAUUGGAACGACACAAGAUUAGCAUGGCCUUUGCGUAGAAAUGACAUUUUUUCUCUGGAAAAAGAAGGUAAUAUA